GUAGGUGGCAAGCGUUGUCCGGAAUUAUUGGGCGUAAAGCGCGCGCAGGCGGUCCUUUAAGUCUGAUGUGAAAGCCCACGGCUCAACCGUGGAGGGUCAUUGGAAACUGGGGGACUUGAGUACGAGAAGAGGAAAGCGGAAUUCCAAGUGUAGCGGUGAAAUGCGUAGAGAUUUGGAGGAACACCAGUGGCGAAGGCGGCUUUCUGGUCUGUAACUGACGCUGAGGCGCGAAAGCGUGGGGAGCAAACAGGAUUAGAUACCCUGGUAGUCCACGCCGUAAACGAUGAGUGCUAAGUGUUAGGGGGUUUCCCGCCCCCCUUAGUGCUGCAGCUAACGCAUUAAGCACUCCGCCUGGGGGAGUACGGCCCGCAAGGCUG
rnacentral:rRNA from 1 species